AUUGAACGCUGGCGGCAUGCCUUACACAUGCAAGUCGAACGGUAACGGGCCUUCGGGUGCCGACGAGUGGCGAACGGGUGAGUAAUACAUCGGAACGUGCCCGAUCGUGGGGGAUAACGAGGCGAAAGCUUUGCUAAUACCGCAUACGAUCUACGGAUGAAAGCAGGGGACCGCAAGGCCUUGCGCGGACGGAGCGGCCGAUGGCAGAGUAGGUAGUUGGUGGGAUAAAAGCUUACCAAGCCGACGAUCUGUAGCUGGUCUGAGAGGAUGAUCAGCCACACUGGGACUGAGACACGGCCCAGACUCCUACGGGAGGCAGCAGUGGGGAAUUUUGGACAAUGGGCGCAAGCCUGAUCCAGCCAUGCCGCGUGCAGGAUGAAGGCCUUCGGGUUGUAAACUGCUUUUGUACGGAACGAAAAGCCUUCUUCUAAUACAGGAGGGUCAUGACGGUACCGUAAGAAUAAGCACCGGCCAACUACGUGCCAGCAGCCGCAGUAA
rnacentral:rRNA from 1 species